UAUUCCUACGGGAGGCAGCAGUAGGGAAUCUUCCACAAUGGACGAAAGUCUGAUGGAGCAACGCCGCGUGAGUGAAGAAGGGUUUCGGCUCGUAAAGCUCUGUUGGUAGUGAAGAAAGAUAGAGGUAGUAACUGGCCUUUACUUGACGGUAAUUACUUAGAAAGUCACGGCUAACUACGUGCCAGCAGCCGCGGUAAUACGUAGGUGGCAAGCGUUGUCCGGAUUUAUUUGGCGUAAAGCGAGUGCAGGCGGGUCAAUUAAGCUUAUGUGGAAACCCUUGGGCUCAACCGAGGAAU
rnacentral:rRNA from 1 species